UACGUAGGGCGCGAGCGUUGUCCGGAAUUAUUGGGCGUAAAGAGCUCGUAGGCGGUUUGUCGCGUCGGUUGUGAAAACCCAAGGCUCAGCCUUGGGCCUGCAAUCGAUACGGGCAGACUAGAGUACUGCAGGGGGAGACUGGAAUUCCUGGUGUAGCGGUGGAAUGCGCAGAUAUCAGGAGGAACACCGGUGGCGAAGGCGGGGUCUCUGGGCAGUAACUGACGCUGGAGGAGCGAAAAGCAUGGGGGAGCGAACAGG
rnacentral:rRNA from 1 species